CAUUCUUAAUUGAACCUAUGCAUUAAAAGAGUUUUUCCUAGGUCAUUGGGUCUUUAUUGCUGAAGAUUCCUAUAUCAUGUAAAACUUUGAUUAAAUAAACGUGUUAUGCCUUUCUCUUACUAACCUGCCUUUUGUUAUAGGAGUGUUGGCCAUGAUCCUUAUUAUAGGUGAGAAAAGAUGUCACCUUUCUGCCCCUAUAGUUUCUGGCCCCUAAAAUAGGAGUGGUUGAGACACCUAAUUUGCUCUGGAGCCUGUGGAAUAGAUCCUGGGACAACUGACAAACAGCCAGCAAAGGAAAGCUCCUAUCUCCUCCAUUUGGUGAUCAGUGGAUGGAAAAUUACUAAAAGGAAACAUCAGAGGUAAGAAGAAUUGAGGUUUCUAUAGUUAAACUUUAGUCAGACUUCUGAAACUUCUCCAAGGCCCAUCUCUGUACUUCCUUGUAAAAUCCUAUAGGAAAUUUCUGUAAAAUCCUAUAGUAAAUUCCUGUAAGUCUAUGUUGCCUUGACAUCCAUUUUGAAUCCUCCUCAGUCCCACCUAAUUGACUCACUCUCCUCCUGGUCAGGCUCACCUAAAGAGUGGCUUUUCUGAUAGGCCCAUCAGGGCAGGGGUAGAGUUUAUAGCCACUCUCUAGAAAGAAAUCUCAAGACUAAAUUAGUGAAAAAUGCGACAAUUCAGUUUUAGCAGAAAUAAAUGUCUUAUCCAUUCACAUGGGUCUUUGUGGACAGUUAACUGCUAGAUGUCCCUUCAGUCACCAGCCUAAAAUCUAGUCCACAGCUUCCAUAAGAUUGACCUCUGAUAAUAGGUUUUUCUCUAUUCACCAUAUUUAAGAAAGGCUGUUAACAGAGAAACUUUGAGAUAUAAAUUUUCUACCCUGUUUUCUCUAGAACUUGACGGUUAACCUUUGGAAAUACAAGCUUCAAAGAAAUAAUGAUCAUCUGAAAGAGAACUAUUUAGAAACUGGUCAGAUAAAAAGUCUUAAACCCUUUUUCUACAACACUUGGGAAAAAGCUUGAACUAUCUGAACAGGUAGCCUCAACUUGUCCCAUUCACCAGAACUAGUUAGUAAGUCUUAAAUUAUCAGACCUGGCACAUAGCUAAAAGUUUUAGAAUGAAAGCUGUAAAAUCUGCUUCUAUCUAUAUGUUUAUAUUAUUAAAUAUAAUAUAGA